CCUACGGGUGGCAGCAGUGGGGAAUAUUGCGCAAUGGGCGAAAGCCUGACGCAGCGACGCCGCGUGAGGGAUGAAGGUCUUCGGAUCGUAAACCUCUGUCAGCAGGGAAGAACGGUCACUGUGCUAAUCAGCAGUGAAUUGACGGUACCUGCAAAGGAAGCACCGGCUAACUCCGUGCCAGCAGCCGCGGUAAUACGGAGAGUGCGAGCGUUAAUCGGAAUUACUGGGCGUAAAGCGCGCGUAGGCGGUAUGUCAAGUCAAGGUGGAAAUCCCCGCGCUCAACGUGGGAACUGCCUUUGAAACUGGCAAACUGGAGUGUGUGAGAGGAUAGUGGAAUUCCAGGUGUAGGAGUGAAAUCCGUAGAUAUCUGGAGGAACAUCAGUGGCGAAGGCGACUAUCUGGCACAUAACUGACGCUGAGGAGCGAAAGCGUGGGUAGCAAACAGGAUUAGAUACCCCAGUAGUC
rnacentral:rRNA from 1 species